UCUCGGUCUCGGCGAUGCUGGGUCGCCUUCUCCUUCCCCCUUCUUCUUCCCGCACGCCUUCUUCGCCCCUUCUCUCUCUCUCCUCCCUCUCUCUCUCUCUCUCCACUCCAAUUUUUUCUUUUUUUUCCCGAUAUUUUUAAUUUAUAUAUAUAUAUGCACACUUCUCUCUGGAAUACUCUCUCUUUCUCUCUCUAACUUUACUCGAACCUUCUCCUGCUCCACUCGUCGCACGCUCUACACGCGUCCACCCCAUCGUCGUCGUCGUUGUCGUCGUUGCCCUCUUCGCCUCGCCCCCUUUUAGGGUUUCCGCUCCAAACCCUAGCCUCUCGAAUCGAUCGAGUCCUCUCUCCCACGCGCGCCGCCCCUCUCUUCGGUUGAUUCGUGGUGGUGGGGAGGGAUUGGAGUCAUGGCGAUUGUGAAGAACAACUUUAGGGUUUCUAGAUUGGACGGCGAUCUCUCGCCGAGUAGUCAGCGGACUCUUUCGAGUGCGGAGGGGGACGAAGAUGCGAUCCGGAUCGCGUCGGGGGAAUCGGGGGGUUCGGACGCGUCCUCCCUUCCGUGCACGGCGACGGGAUCGGGCGAGCUCGAACCCUCGGAGCCUGGCUUCGCCGGGACGGAGCUAUGCCAGGUCGGGAACGAGGUCUGCGCUCUCCCUGUCGAGCUUUACGAUCUUCCCGAUCUCGGAUCGAUCCUCUCUGUCUCCACCUGGAACGAGUGCCUCUCCGAAGAGGAGCGCUUCGCUCUCGCAGAGUUCCUUCCUGACAUGGACCUCGAAACCUUCAGCCAAACCCUAAGGGAGCUCUUCGCGGGUAAGAACUUCCACUUCGGGAGCCCUCUCAAUACUUUCUAUGAUCGGCUAAAGGGCGGGCUAUACAGCCCUAAGAUCGUAACCUACCGCCGCGGGCUCAACUUCUUUCAUAGGUGCAAGCACUAUCAUUUUCUCCGAAAGUAUCAUAAUUCUAUGGUGGGGCGCCUUAACCAGAUGAGGGAUGUUUGGCAGAACUGUGAGGAUUACAGUAUUGAGGAGCGGCUUCGAAGGCUGAAUAUAGUUAAAAGCCAGAGGUCUUUGGAUCGUGAGAGGAAUGAAUAUGCUGAAUCUGAGACUGAUACAGAGAGCAGACAUUCAGGUGAUGGAUACAAGAUUGAGCGGAGGCCUUCGUAUGACACAGCGUUUGCAGAGAAAAAGAAGAAAAAGUUUGGUAAAGAGAAUUCAAAGGGAGUGUUGAAAGUUGCUAAACUGAAGAAUUCUUCCCAAACGGGUGUUUCUCGGACGGUUAAAGCCGCAGAGUAUUAUUUGGAUGAGAGGGGAUAUGAGAUCAGCAUGCAGAAGAAGAGAGAAGGCUUGCUGAAGCCAGGGAAGAAACAAAAACUGAGGAGAAGAUAUGAGGAGGGCAUGUUCGAUGACAAUGAAUAUCUUGACGGGUAUGGUGGGUCACCCUAUUACCAAGGAAACGGGAGCAGUGCCGAUCAAUUGGUUACUAUAGCUUCUUAUGAUCCCAAGUCUUUUGAUACCUAUAAUAAGAAGACUAGUUAUUUAAAGAGAUUCCAGCAUAAUGUGAUGCAGGAAGAGGCAAUCCCGUUUGUCCAAGAUGCUAGGUUUGAUGAUUGGAACAUCAGAGGCAAGAAAAAGAAGAAUGGGCAUGAUUCGAAAGUCAAGUCAUCUAAGAAUAUACCUGUUCAGAUGGAUGACUUGAGUUGCUCGUAUGAUCACAGAGCAAGAACAUCAGAAGGGAAGAUCAGAGGUGACGAUUAUCGGUAUGGCGUAAUGGGCACAGAGUUCGCUAAGGAUACUACUUUGUUUGAUCAAAGUGAGGAGACAGAAUCUGAUGAAUCUGAACGAGUUGAGGAAGGUGGAGAUAAGAUCUCUCAGUUCAAAGCUGUUAAUCCUAUUUAUGACUCUAAAAAGGCCAACAGACUUAGGAAAACAGAUAAAAGAGGUUAUGCUAGUGUUGCUCCAGAUGUUGAGCCCUACUCUACAAAGGGGAAGCAUAAAGGAACAAUGAAUGAGCCCAAUUAUAUGAAUGAGGUUAAAUUAAUGAAGAAGGGACAUGCACUACAGACUAGUGAAAACUUCCGGCCAUCAUUAGUGAAGAGUUACAAAAUGGGGAGAAAACAGAAAGGGGUGGUUGAUCUGGACGCUCCUCUGCAGCAAGCAAAUUACAUGCCUGAAAAUGGCAGCCCUAUGUUGGAAGAAAGAAAUGAAAGUAUCUGUGAUAGGUCGACCAUGCCCUUAUUAGGUUGCAACUCUGUGAUGAAGAAGCCGAAAGGAAAGACUGAUUCUAUGCACCCAGAUGAGCUUGCUGAAUCUUUUCAUUUCGAAUCUAGUCCACAACGGCAGCUUGAUGGCCCCAUUAUCACUAAAAAGAAGGGAAAAAGGAAAGCAGAAACUGUAAUGGAGUCUCCAGCAUUGGUAGUGCCUGAUAUGACGGUGCCACAAAACAGUACAGUGGAUGUGGAGACUGAGAAACCACAAAAAAAUCCAUUUACACUGAUCACGCCUACGAUCCAUACUGGCUUUUCAUUCUCUAUCAUACAUCUUCUUUUGGCUGUUCGGAAGGCAAUGAUUACUCAGAACGACGAUACUACAGCGAUUCAGAGCAAAAUGGUUCAAGUAUCAAAUGGCAUAAACAGCUUGCCUCCUCUCACAGUGCAGGAAAUAGUGAAUCGAGUUAGAUCAAACCCUGGAGAUCCAUCUAUUCUUGAAACACAGGAGCCGAUUCAGGACUUGGUGCGAGGAGUGCUGAAAAUAUUCUCAUCUAAGACGGCACCUUUAGGAGCAAAGGGGUGGAAGCCUCUUGUUGUAUAUGAGAAGUCGAGCAAAGGUUGGUCAUGGGUUGGUCCGCUCACACCUAGUCAUGACAAUGAUAUUAUUGAAGAAGAGACUUCUGAGGAAGCAUGGGGAAUACCCCAUAAGAUGCUUGUGAAGUUGGUUGAUGCGUUUGCUAACUGGCUGAAAAGUGGCCAGGAGACCCUUCAGCAGAUAGGGAGCCUUCCUGCCCCACCUGUCUCAAUGCUUUCGAACUUGGACGAGAAGGAAAGAUUCAAAGACUUGAGAGCACAGAAGAGUCUAAACACUAUUAGCCCAAGCACUGAUGAAGUAAGAACAUAUUUCCGUCGAGAGGAAUAUCUGAGAUACUCAAUUCCAGAUAGGGCUUUUGCCUAUACUGCUGCUGAUGGGAGAAAAUCUGUUGUUGCUCCAUUAAGAAGGGGAGGAGGAAAGCCAACAUCAAAAGCUCGGGACCAUUACAUGCUUAAGCCCGACCGCCCGCCGCAUGUUACUGUCCUUUGUCUUGUUCGCGAUGCAGCUGCUAGGUUACCAGGGAGUAUUGGAACUAGGGCAGAUGUUUGUACCCUGAUUAGGGAUUCGCAAUACAUAGUUGAAAAUGUCACUGAUGCGCAAGUCAACCAAGUAGUUAGUGGGGCUUUGGAUAGGUUGCAUUAUGAACGCGAUCCUUGUGUACAGUUUGAUUCUGACAGGAAACUGUGGGUCUAUUUGCAUAGAGACAGAGAGGAGGAAGAUUUUGAGGAUGAUGGUACGUCUUCUACUAAGAAGUGGAAAAGGCAAAAGAAAGAUGCUCCUGACAUAACUGAAGGUGGUUCUCCUGCUGGGUAUGAUUAUGAAGCUGACCUUAAUGCUGAUCCACCAUCUUUAAGAGGAGAGGGGCCUGAACUUGUUUAUAAUGAUAAUGACAUGAGGUCAGCGAACAACUUGAGUGACGAUAACUUGGCUAGCUGGAAGGCUCUUCAAUCAAAUCCUUCAAGGGAAAGCAAAAUGGCUUGUCAAGAUAACUCCAAUAAAGAUUUUGAUGAUGAAGCAUUUAGAGGGAGAGGCCAGUUGGGCUUUUUGAGUACGAGUUUAUCGUGAAGAGUGCAUAAUUCUUGAUUCUUAUCUGCUGUUUAUUCUGGUGCGACAAUUUAGGGUCCAAGCGCCACCAUAGACUUCACUAUUAGCGCACUCCAAACUUAGUCUAUCGAUCAGAGGCUGGAAUUUCGUGCUACAUUUUGCGUUAUUUGGCACACUUUAAUGCUUGGGUACAUGUACAUUCUUCCAUUCUGGUAUAGUGAGUAAACUUUUUGAGGCGUAAUAAUUCUUCUUGGCGAUCUGGGAAUCAGAAAAUUUCUUUAGUCUGCAUAAAUUUGUAUAGUGUUAUAGUGUUAACAAACUGCAACUGAGCCCUAAUCUCUUCCUUUUUCUUUUCUUUUUCUUUUGGUUAGGAAGAGUAGUGGUAGUCCUCGAUCUUAUCUAACUUUUGCAAUGUCAUCCCCAGGUUCUUUGUCUUCUUGAAAUUCUCUAACAUAUAACAUCUGGGGGCACAUGCUCUCUCCAUGUGAAUAUAACCAUGGCAUGUUUUAGUUUUAGUCUCGAUCUAGUCUCUGUUUCGUGUAUAGUUGGUAAAUGUUGGUUAAGGGUUUGCUUGUAAUACGUGUUGUUUUUCUUUUUCUUUUUUUUUU